rnacentral:lncRNA from 1 species
GUAACCUGUUGAAAUCUGAGUUCAUCUUAUUCUCUGUCCAUAUCAAUUGAUAAAAUCUAUGCCCACUCCAUCCUCAGUCUAUAGAAAAUGUCGGGUCAAACAAGUAACUAAUGGUCUCCACAAAAAACUGCGAAGUCGUCUCAGUGACAGUGACUUUGAAUUUUCUUCUCAAGAUCUAAAGAUGAGGGUUUUACCUGAGCAAUGCAGCCUCCGAGGCCCAAACCCUCAAAAAUCUGGUGGAAGGCGAGGGCAGCGACGAGAGGUCUGAUGGUGCAUUGAUUUUGAGACAUACCCAUGGUAACGCCUAUGAUGACCGAGUGGAAUAUGAUUCCAAUCUCCAAUACUUGAGACACCAGUCUCUGCUUCAGCUUCACCAGCUCUUCACCUUGUUUGUCAGGGCAACUCACCGACAGUACCGCCGUUUCAACCCGGAACUCGGUCAAUUUCUUGGCGUGAGUGGGCAAUUCUUCUUGGGUCCCAAUUGGGGUGUAGUGACUGGGCUUGUGGCUGUCGACAUGGGCGGAGGCGGUGAGGUCGACGAGGAGGGCGAGGAUGGCGCCGAUCAUGGUGACGAGGCCGGAGAAAGGGAAGUCCUUCCAGGGGUGGUGGGAGGCGACGUGGCAGUCGGAGAGGGCGGCGAAGGCGUCAGGGAGGACGUGGACGAGGGAGGUGGAGAGAAUCACGCCGGCGGCGAAGCACUUGAUGAUGAGAAUCGCCUUGUCGUACAUGGGUUUGCCUUGGAAAACCCGGGCAAGCAUCACCGGGGAGGAGAUGCCCACCACACUGGUGAUGAAGAUUACGAAGAUUGAUACCAGCUUCAGGUGCGCCGCUGCUCUUCCGUCCCGGCAGGCCAGUGCCCGAGCCGUAUCGCCUACGCACGAGGCCAUUGGCUCCAAAAAUUCAAUACUCUGAGAGAGACAGAGAGAG